GACGAACGCUGGCGGCGUGCCUAAUACAUGCAAGUCGAGCGGACUUUCAAGAAGCUUGCUUUUUGAAAGUUAGCGGCGGACGGGUGAGUAACACGUGGGCAACCUGCCUGUAAGACGGGGAUAACUCCGGGAAACCGGGGCUAAUACCGGAUAAUAUCUUUCUUCGAAUGAAGGAAGGUUGAAAGGCGGCGCAAGCUGCCGCUUGCAGAUGGGCCCGCGGCGCAUUAGCUAGUUGGUGAGGUAACGGCUCACCAAGGCGACGAUGCGUAGCCGACCUGAGAGGGGGGUAGGGCACACUGGGACUGGGACACGGCCCAGACUCCUACGGGAGGCAGCAAUAGGGAAUCUUCCGCAAUGGACGAAAGUCUGACGGAGCAACGCCGCGUGAGCGAAGAAGGUCUUCGGAUCGUAAAGCUCUGUUGUCAGGGAAGAACAAGUACCGUUCGAAUAGGGCGGUACCUUGACGGUACCUGACCAGAAAGCCACGGCUAACUACGUGCCAGCCGCCGCAGUAA
rnacentral:rRNA from 1 species